rnacentral:lncRNA from 1 species
UAGGAUCAUGUGUCCUCCAAUUGGGGUGAGGUCCACCCUAAAACCCUAGGUGCCAUGUGUUCAUUUUUACAAUUGGGCUUAAGCUAUUCUACCAAAAUUAGCCCACAAUGCAAAGAGUUUGUCUAAAAACUUUAAACAAUUAAAUUUACAAUGUAACUAAAUUUAAAAUGACUAAAUUGGGAGUCUUGAAUUAUUUUGUCUCCUCUCAAUGCUCCAAAAUAUAUCUCCA